CUGGCUCAGGAUGAACGCUGGCGGCGUGCUUAACACAUGCAAGUCGAACGGUGAACACGGAGCUUGCUCUGUGGGAUCAGUGGCGAACGGGUGAGUAACACGUGAGCAACCUGCCCCUGACUCUGGGAUAAGCGCUGGAAACGGCGUCUAAUACUGGAUAUGUGACGUGAUCGCAUGGUCUGCGUCUGGAAAGAAUUUCGGUUGGGGAUGGGCUCGCGGCCUAUCAGCUUGUUGGUGAGGUAAUGGCUCACCAAGGCGUCGACGGGUAGCCGGCCUGAGAGGGUGACCGGCCACACUGGGACUGAGACACGGCCCAGACUCCUACGGGAGGCAGCAGUGGGGAAUAUUGCACAAUGGGCGCAAGCCUGAUGCAGCAACGCCGCGUGAGGGACGACGGCCUUCGGGUUGUAAACCUCUUUUAGCAGGGAAGAAGCGAAAGUGACGGUACCUGCAGAAAAAGCGCCGGCUAACUACGUGCCAGCAGCCGCGGUAAUACGUAGGGCGCAAGCGUUAUCCGGAAUUAUUGGGCGUAAAGAGCUCGUAGGCGGUUUGUCGCGUCUGCUGUGAAAUCCGGAGGCUCAACCUCCGGCCUGCAGUGGGUACGGGCAGACUAGAGUGCGGUAGGGGAGAUUGGAAUUCCUGGUGUAGCGGUGGAAUGCGCAGAUAUCAGGAGGAACACCGAUGGCGAAGGCAGAUCUCUGGGCCGUAACUGACGCUGAGGAGCGAAAGGGUGGGGAGCAAACAGGCUUAGAUACCCUGGUAGUCCACCCCGUAAACGUUGGGAACUAGUUGUGGGGUCCAUUCCACGGAUUCCGUGACGCAGCUAACGCAUUAAGUUCCCCGCCUGGG
rnacentral:rRNA from 1 species